rnacentral:tRNA from 1 species
AGGUGUGUAGUGUAAAGGUAGCACAAUGGCAUCCAAAACCAUAAGAGAGGUUCGAAUCCUUCCGCACCUG